rnacentral:rRNA from 1 species
GUCCGCGAGGACAAUUUGACAAUUUGACCUCAAAUCAGGUACGAAUGCGCCGCGCCAG